rnacentral:rRNA from 1 species
GGUCCCGCCUGCCCCGUGACUCCCCAGUUCAACGGCCGCAGUAUUUUGACCGCGCAAAGGUAGCGCAAUCACUUGUCCCUUAAAUGAGGACCUGUAUGAAUGGCACAACGAGGGCUUAUCUGUCUCCUUUUCCCGGUCAAUGAAAUUGAUCCUCCCGUGCAGAAGCGGGAAUACUAACAUAAGACGAGAAGACCCUAUGGAGCUUUAGACUUUCAAACAGGCCAUAUUAACUACUUCCCUUAAACAAAGUAGCAACUACUGAACUCUGUCCCCUGUCUUCGGUUGGGGCGACCACGGGGAAGAAACAAUCCCCCACGUGGACUAGAAGUACCCUAACUUACUUCUACAACUACGAGCCACAGCUCUAAUGCGCAGAACCUCUGACCAUAUAGAUCCGGCAAAGCCGAUCAACGGACCAAGUUACCCUAGGGAUAACAGCGCAAUCCCCUUUAAGAGUUCCUAUCGACAAGGGGGUUUACGACCUCGAUGUUGGAUCAAGACAUCCUAAUGGUGCAACCGCUAUUAAGGGUUCGUUUGUUCAACGAUUAAAGUCUU